GGGGGUGGGGCGGCGGGGAGGGAGGGGAUAGGCCUGCCUGAGCUUGUCCCGCCAUCUCAGAUUUCAAGUAGAUCCCCUGGGCCUGGGUUGGCCGGUCCCCCUGAGCAGGCCCCCCAUGCUCCUGACGGCCUCAGCCCCCAACCAGAUGAGGUGGGCAGGGAGUCCUCCCUCUCAGGCCCGCACAGCACCUGCACAGGGGCUCCCAACUGACUGCCGAGUUGCACUGAGCCUGGCAAGGACUGCUAGCAGCUGAGAUGCCCGCUCCCUUGGCGCUCUGAGGGGGAUGCAGAAUCACCAGUGGGCUCCGCAGACUGAGAGCUGGGGGCAGGUGUCCAAGGACUAUGACUACGGCUGUUGUGCUGAGAAUCCUGCCAGUAGCUCAGGAGAGGGAUGGUUGUGGAUACACCAGGGUGAUAGCUGGCGCUGGGUAACGAUGUUGGAUUCUGGACACGCAUUCAAGGAUGGAGCUCUGCAACACCAAGGCAGCUGCGGGAGAACAGACCUUGUGGACGGCGGUUCACCAUGAGGAAGCUGAAAUGAGAUACUGGAUGUGAGGAGGGAAGGUUAGGAGAUAACUUUUGCCAUGACCAGCACAACCUUCAGGCACCCCCAACCUCAAAGUUUGACCCGAAGGGUCCAGAUGCCGGGGACAGCGCAGGAAGGGGUUAUGUUAAAGUUUUAGCAGGGACCCUUUUGUACCUGGUCCCUUUGGUUCCACCAAGAGGGAAGAGGAGGAAGGGGAAAAGGAAUCUCCACAGUAACUAUUUCCCCUCCCUCUCAAAAGCCUCAUAUUCUCCUGUCAGCUCUCGCAUGGAGAUCUGUCUUUCUAGAUGUUUGCCUGGAAUGUUCUUUCCCCUCUGAUCCAAGAGGGACAUUUCUGUGCAUUCUUGGAGACUGAGGCCCAGGAGCCUAGCUCCACGGCUGACAGAUCCUGUGGGACCCCCCAGAAGUGCUAUCUCCCUCUGUGAUAGGGCUCUGUAGUGACAAGUGUCACUCAGCCUCAGCCGCCACGCUGUGAUGUGACUGCUGCUGUUUCUUCCAUGCCCCCACCAGCUGACAGGUUCCAAGACAAGGCCUCUGUCUUCAUGAGGGCAGAAUGGAGCCUGAACCCUGUCUCAGCAGGUGCUUCCUGGCCAGUGGCAUUUAACCUCUCUGUCCCUCACCUGCUCACAGCUCUUCAGGUAGAACACCUACCCCCACAGAGGUGGUUGAGAAGUCAGUGAGGAAAUACAAGCAAAGCACUUGAAAUUUACUACACCAUAAGAACACAAAAAACAUGAGCUCUCAUUCUGCGUCUCUGUCCCCCUUGCGCCCACAACAUAGCGGCUUGAGUGAAAGAGUGAAUGAAUGAAGUAGGAGAUCUCCAAGGUCUGGAAUCAGCCUGCAAACGUUUUCCUUUAGGACUCCACAGAACAAUUAGAAUCUGUAAUGAUGUCUGAGGCGUCCAUCUUCACGGCAGCCACCCUGGGAAUAGCAGACCCCAACAGAGUACUCAAGGCCAUUUGCUUGAGUCCUGAUGUCGCUGGGGCAGAGGUUUCAGGAGGAGAAGCUACCAAAUAUUGUCAGCCUGACCUGCCCAGAGAAAGAACCGCUCAGAGCUCUGGAUGGGCCCCGCGGUCCCUGGACUCAGUCUCACCUCUGUACCGUUUUGGUCCUCACCCACGGCCCGGGCGGCUCUGACAGCUUCUGUGACCGCCCUGGAGGCAUUCAAGAGAUGGCAUGUGGAGAAGUUGCCCAGACUGUUUUCCAGACACUGGUAUUACAGGUUUGACAAGGGUGUGAAAAAUCACAGCCUGGAGGUCAAACGCGGACCUGAGGCCUGCCGAUGCCCAGAAGUGGAAGAUGGCUCAGAGAGUAUAACUCGUGCUAAUCCCUAGAGCAAAUCUGGCUUACCAGGAGCCGUGGGGACAGGCUAAAGGCUCAGAGCAACAAAGGUCAGUGCAAAUGGGGGUGCCUCUGGGGCCUGGAAACCUCCCAGUCCCCUUCCCCCUGAAAGCCUGGGUCUCCUUUGCAACUAGAAUAGGAGAUGAGGGAAUAGCGAGGGAGGAAAUAGCAGCAAAGCACUUGAGGUCUGGGCUGGGGUGGGUUGGGGGAAGCUCUAGUGGCUUCCCUCAGCUUCUCUUCCAGGAGGAGAAGUCAAGAAGAGGGGCAAGGGCCCGUGCCCGGGACCUCCCUCAUCCAGGAGGGCUCUUCUCAAGAGACCCAUGUGGUCCUCCCCCCUUCCUCCUGUCUCUGUCCCAAGGUCACCUCCUCAGGGAGGCCUUCCCCAACCACCUUAUCUAAACCCACUCCCUGCCAUUCCCUUCACUCCCUAUCCUUCUGUUCUGUUGUGGGUUUUGCCUUCUUUCUUGAUUUCUAGGUAUUAAUUCAGUGUUUAUUGUCACUCUCCCAUCACUCAAAUGUAGGCUCCAUGAGGGCAGAGGGUUUUGUGGGAUUUUGUCGUUGGUGCUUCACAGAUAUUUGCUGAGAAGACGAAUGAGUAGAAGGAAGGUAGUGGGGCUGCACUGGAUGGGUGAACUCGAGGCCUGGACAUCCCAGGAGACAGGCCCGCAGAAGUGGGAAUCCUCUUGCUAAAGCCAGUGGUUCAGACUGAAGGGGCCGAUGGGAAUCCAGAAGGGGCAAAGGACCAAGGCCUCAGCAUGCUGACAGAACGUCUCUUCUAACCUUCAACCUGAGCAUGCUGGGUGGAAGUCCUGUGGUCUGGUGGCCUGCACCCCAGGAGGUGCAAGCCAUGAGCAG